AUUGAACGCUGGCGGCAGGCUUAACACAUGCAAGUCGAGCGGGGAUAGGGUGCUUGCACCUGAUUCCUAGCGGCGGACGGGUGAGUAAUGCUUAGGAAUCUGCCUAUUAGUGGGGGACAACAUUCCGAAAGGGAUGCUAAUACCGCAUACGCCCUACGGGGGAAAGCAGGGGAUCUUCGGACCUUGCGCUAAUAGAUGAGCCUAAGUCGGAUUAGCUAGUUGGUGGGGUAAAGGCCUACCAAGGCGACGAUCUGUAGCGGGUCUGAGAGGAUGAUCCGCCACACUGGGACUGAGACACGGCCCAGACUCCUACGGGAGGCAGCAGUGGGGAAUAUUGGACAAUGGGGGGAACCCUGAUCCAGCCAUGCCGCGUGUGUGAAGAAGGCCUUUUGGUUGUAAAGCACUUUAAGCGAGGAGGAGGCGCUCUAGGAUAAUACCCUAGAUGCGUGGACGUUACUCGCAGAAUAAGCACCGGCUAACCCUGUGCCAGCCGCCGCUGUAAAAC
rnacentral:rRNA from 1 species